rnacentral:tRNA from 1 species
GGCAGUAGCUCAGUGGUAGAGCCUCGCUUCGCUUGCGGGAAGACCUGGGCUCGAUUCCCGGCUGCC